rnacentral:rRNA from 1 species
GAGUAACGGAGGAGCACGAAGGUUGGCUAAUCCUGGUCGGACAUCAGGAGGUUAGUGCAAUGGCAUAAGCCAGCUUGACUGCGAGCGUGACGGCGCGAGCAGGUGCGAAAGCAGGUCAUAGUGAUCCGGUGGUUCUGAAUGGAAGGGCCAUCGCUCAACGGAUAAAAGGUACUCCGGGGAUAACAGGCUGAUACCGCCCAAGAGUUCAUAUCGACGGCGGUGUUUGGCACCUCGAUGUCGGCUCAUCACAUCCUGGGGCUGAAGUAGGUCCCAAGGGUAUGGCUGUUCGCCAUUUAAAGUGGUACGCGAGCUGGGUUUAGAACGUCGUGAGACAGUUCGGUCCCUAUCUGCCGUGGGCGCUGGAGAACUGAGGGGGGCUGCUCCUAGUACGAGAGGACCGGAGUGGACGCAUCACUGGUGUUCGGGUUGUCAUGCCAAUGGCACU